UACGUAGGGUGCGAGCGUUAAUCGGAAUUACUGGGCGUAAAGGGUGCGUAGGUGGGCAAGUAAGUCAGUGGUGAAAUCUCCGGGCUUAACCCGGAAACUGCCAUUGAUACUAUUUGUCUUGAAUACUGUGGAGGUCAGCGGAAUAUGUCAUGUAGCGGUGAAAUGCUUAGAUAUGACAUAGAACACCAAUUGCGAAGGCAGCUGGCUACACAAAUAUUGACACUGAGGCACGAAAGCGUGGGGAUCAAACAGG
rnacentral:rRNA from 1 species